rnacentral:rRNA from 1 species
CACGUAGUUAGCCGUGACUUUCUGGUUGGAUACCGUCACUGCAUGAACAGUUACUCUCACGCACGUUCUUCUCCAACAACAGAGCUUUACGAGCCGAAACCCUUCUUCACUCACGCGGUGUCGCUCCAUCAGGCUUGCGCCCAUUGUGGAAGAUUCCCUACUGCUGCCUCCCGUAGGAGUAUGGACCGUGUCUCAGUUCCAUUGUGGCCAAUCAGUCUCUCAACUCGGCUAUGCAUCAUCACCUUGGUAGGCCGUUACCCUACCAACUAGUUAAUGCACCGCGGGUCCAUCCUGAAGUGAUAGCCGAAACCAUCUUUGAGGCGAAAACCAUGCGGUUUUCGUAGUUAUGCGGUAUUAGCACCUGUUUCCAAAUGUUAUCCCCCGCUUCAGGGCAGGUUACCCACGUGUUACUCACCUGUCCGCCACUCACUGGUAAACCAUCUUCAUAAAAGUGCAAGCACUUUUAAUCUGUUGGGCCAGUGCGUUCGACUUGCAUGU